rnacentral:rRNA from 1 species
AGGACGAACGCUGGCGGCGUGCUUAACACAUGCAAGUGGAGCGACGAACCAGGGCUUGCCCUGGGGCAGAGCCGCGAACGGGUGAGUAACACGUGGGUUACCUGCCUCGAUGACCGGGACAACCCGAGGAAACUCGGGCUAAUACCGGAUGUGCCCGCAAGGGGAAAGGAAGCUUCGGCCUCCGCAUCGAGAUGGGCCCGCGGCCCAUUAGCUUGUUGGUGAGGUAACGGCUCACCAAGGCUUCGAUGGGUAGCUGGUCUGAGAGGACGAUCAGCCACACUGGGACUGAGACACGGCCCAGACUCCUACGGGAGGCAGCAGUGGGGAAUCUUGCGCAAUGCGCGAAAGCGUGACGCAGCAACGCCGCGUGGGGGAAGAAGGCUUUCGGGUUGUAAACCCUUUCAGUUGGGACGAAGCUUCUCCGGUGAAUAGCCGGACGGAGUGACGGUACCUUCACAAGAAGCACCGGCUAACUACGUGCCAGCAGCCGCGGU